rnacentral:lncRNA from 1 species
UUUGACCCGUUUCAACACUCCUGACCGGCCCCAUUUAUUUUUAAUCUCAGCCUUUGAUUCCUUCUAAUCUAACGGCUCACACUGACUUACUAAUGACCUAUUCUUUUAAAAAAAAACCUAGAGAUCCCCCAAGAACCAAAACCAGCCGUUGUCGCCGCUCCCUCUCUCAUCUCCAUCGUCACUCCACCAACGACCACUAUGUCAUCGUCAUCACCCCAUCUCCGCCUCUUUCUGCCGAUCAAACCUAACACAUACAACUCCAAUGACUAAAUCUCUCCACCACCAGAGCUCGCUGCAAACCACCAUUCUCUACCGCCGUGACACACACAUGUAUAGAGACAAAAAAAAAUAGAAAAAUUUUGAGGAUUUUCAGAAAAAGAGGAAGCAGCAAAGUUAUAGUAUCUUUGUUUUGAUUUUCAAUUUUCUUCCUCUGAUUUACUUAGUUCUUUCACAUAUAUAAAAGUUUCAAUUUUCUUCUUUUUUUGUUUUACUUGAAAAAAUCAAAAAACAAGAAAAAGUUUGGUAGUAAUCUUUGUUCAGUUUUUGGAUAUCAAGAAUAGAGUUACUUGAGGUCUGAAGUCAGUUUGGUCACCGAUCGAGGCUCAUGGCUGUGUUCUUGUUGUUGUUGUUUUUAAUUCUGCUUGCGGCUUAUAGUUCCUGUUCCAUUUUUUAUGUUUCGUCUCGAUUUUUUAUCGCCGACGCUCACUUGUAUUUUCUUUCAAUUAGAAUCAAUCAAAAUCUUCUUGUGCUUUCACGUUUGUUCCUUCUCUUUACAUUUCUAUUUUAUGUUGAUAUGAG